rnacentral:rRNA from 1 species
UGGGGAAUAUUGCACAAUGGGCGAAAGCCUGAUGCAGCGACGCCGCGUGAGGGAUGACGGCCUUCGGGUUGUAAACCUCUUUCAGCAGGGACGAAGCGCAAGUGACGGGACCUGCAGAAGAAGCACCGGCUAACUACGUGCCAGCAGCCGCGGUAAUACGUAGGGUGCAAGCGUUGUCCGGAAUUACUGGGCGUAAAGAGUUAGUAGGCGGUUUGUCGCGUCGUUUGUGAAAACCAGCAGCUCAACUGCUGACUUGCAGGCGAUACGGGCAGACUUGAGUACUGCAGGGGAGACUGGAAUUCCUGGUGUAGCGGUGAAAUGCGCAGAUAUCAGGAGGAACACCGGUGGCGAAGGCGGGUCUCUGGGCAGUAACUGACGCUGAGGAACGAAAGCGUGGGUAGCGAACAGG